AGAGAAGGGGUCCUUUGGGACCGCAAAGAAGCGUCUUUCUUUCCCGGCUUCUCCCGCCAGGCCAAGGCGUCAUUCAGGUCCACCAAAGGUAGAAAUCGCCGUAAAUGCAGAGGUCAGUGUGGACAAUGGUGUGGCCAGUUGAUUAAAUAAUAAUCAGAGUGAAAGGAUUGAAAUCAUUAAAGUAGGAUUGAAGAUAUAUCAGUGAAGAAAAUAAAAACAAAAGUUCAUUUACAUUGAGUGUUCUUUAAAUUUAUUUAUUUGUCCUAUUUUUAUGUGUAUCCUAACAUUUUAUGUAGGCUUUUGAUUUGGGGUGAAAAUUGUUUUACUUACCAUAUAUUCAUCUAUUUGUAUUUUUAUUUACAUUCUCUAUCAUUUACACUGAGGGGAAGAAAUUUGGUUUAUGAUGAUCUUGUGACAGAAAAUGAGUCCACUUUCUUUGUUUUAUGUUCACCAUAAACUGAAAUUUAAAGCUCCUGAUUCUUAAUGUAAUAUAAGUACAAUUUUGUUUUUUUUUUACUAAUAAUUGAUUCUGGUCCUGUUGUUUAUCUUA
rnacentral:lncRNA from 1 species